ACCUUUUCGCAUGAGUACCGCUUUGGGUGAGAUCUGAUUACGAUAAAUAACCUCGUUAUUCAUUUGCUAGGUUUUGGACGGAAGUAACUGCUAACAAUUCUCAUCGGGUAACUUUACAAAGGAGGUCUACUGUGAGUGGAGGAAAAUUUGACCGGUAGGUAAAGUAGAUCAGUCUGCUUGGCCUGGUGAACUGUGACGUUUGUUUCGACAACCUCCAAACGUUUGCUGCCUACUUAAUUUGACUCGUACUAUUUUGAGGGGACAAAAUGGAUCCAAGCAGGCCACCUGACAUCAGUAAUAUGCCUGACGUUCCCUGGUGGGGACGCAGUCGAGGACGUGAUAUAGGACUAGCCAGAGGUUUUUCCACUCCUGCUAAUAUCACAGAAGGACAAGUACCCGGGGUAACGAUUUGCGAGCCUUUAGCUGGACGAGCUCGAGGUCUUGGUCGAGCAAGAGUGGGGCUGUUUUCCACGACAGGACCAAAGCUUGGUAUGUCAAGAGGCACAGUCCUGGCUAGCAGGGAGAUUCGGAAAGAUAUUACAGAAGAAGUCCUGACCACAAAAGAGGUUGAAUCCCUUCCACGUGCUCAAGGGUCUGUAUUUGUCUCAAUGUUCAGACAAAUGGGUUUGGAACCCUUGGUGGCCUCACGGGGAAGAGGAACAUUACCAGUAGAAAGAGAAGUAGUUGGGGAGAUGGAAGAGUUGAAGCAGCCAAGCGCAGCUGUAGGAAUGGUAUCCAGUUGUCCACAGCCCAGUGACCUCCCACUAAAAGUGAUCGGCAGAGGGCGAAGUUCUCUUGGCCAAGAAAAUUUGACCAGUGUGACGGUGGGAGUUGGAAUAACACCAAAGCCUGCCCUUGGAAUGGGACGAGGAAGCUCUUUAUGUCUUCCUUUUCCUCUUGAAAGUGUUCAGACUGGUUCUCUUACCUCUGACGUGACUGCAUGCGAUCACUCAAAGAUCUCUGACACAGGAAUUGUGUCCAUUGUUCAAGAGGUGCAAGAUCCCUCGGCUAUUGUACCAGGAAAGGAGUUGAAAAUGGAGCCAAAAUGUGAGCCACUCAACAAGGCUGGAUCAAAAGGAACUCCAAUAACUAUUGGGUCCAAUCAUAUUCCAAUUCAAUGCAAGAAUAAAGCCAUUUAUCAGUACCAUGUGACAUUUACACCAAAUGUUGAAUCCAUGUCAAUGCGUUUUGCAAUGAUGAAAGAUCAAUGCUCGACCACAGGAGAAGUUAUGGCUUUUGAUGGUUCAAUACUCUACCUUCCUCUCCAACUUAAGGAUGAAGUGGUUCUCAAGAGUUUGAGAAGAACAGACAAUGAAGAAAUCAAAAUCCAAAUACAGAUGACAAAGAUACUUCCUCCCAACUCUGAUCUGUGUAUCCCACUCUACAAUGUCGUGCUCAGGAGGGCCAUGAAAAUACUUGGAUUUAAAUUGGUACGAAGAAAUCAUUAUGAUCCUGAAAGUGCAGUAGUUCUUGGCAAACAUAGACUGCAGGUGUGGCCUGGUUAUUCAACAUGUAUCAAAAAUACAGAUGGAGGUCUGUACCUGUGUGUUGAUAUGUCUCACAAAGUCUUGCGGAAUGACUCUGUGCUGGAUCUCAUGAGCAUCCUAUAUCAACAAAGCAAAGAAAAUUUUAAAGAUGAAUGUACCAAAGAAUUUGUUGGUGGGAUCAUUAUCACCCGCUACAACAACCGGACUUACCGCAUCGACGCCAUUGAGUGGGACAAAUCACCCAAAGACACCUUCACUUUGAUGGAUGGCACAAAAACCACUUUUGUGGACUACUACAGCAAGCAUUAUGGAAUUAUUAUUAAAGAUAUGGACCAACCUCUUCUAAUGCAUCAACCAAAGGAGCGUUCAAAGCCAGGGGAAAAGCAAGUCUUUACUGGUGAGAUCCUAAUAGUUCCUGAGCUAGCUUUUAUGACUGGGAUCCCGGAAAAUAUGAAGAAGGAUUUCAGAGCAAUGAAGGACCUGACCAUGCACAUUAAUGUGAAUGCUGAGCAGCACACCCAUUCAGUAAAGCAACUUCUGAAGAACAUAAAUACUAACCCUGACAGUCAGAAAGAGAUCACCCAAUGGGGUCUGCAACUUGACUCUGAAAUCCUGCUGAUAAAGGGUAGAUCUCUUCCUCUUGAAACUAUUUGUCUCCAAACUUCGUCAUUUACCAUUGGUGCUGAUGGGUCUUGGUCCAGAGAGGUUGUCAGGCUGGCUUCAAUCAGCUCAGUUCCCCUGAAAACCUGGGCCAUUUUCUACCCUCGACGCUGUGCAGAGCAAGCUGAAGAGUUCAUUUCAACCUUUAGCAAGGUGGGUGGGCCUCUUGGGUUGCAAGUGGCUCGUCCUACUUGUGUAGAGCUGAGGGAUGAUCGCAUAGAAACGUAUGUCAAGAGCAUCCACUCUCAGCUAACUUGUGAGGCUAGUUUGCAGCUUGUGGUGUGCAUCUUGGUAGGAAACAGAAAUGAUCUCUACUGUGCCAUCAAGAAACUCUGCUGUGUCAAAAGUCCCAUUCCAUCCCAGGCUAUCAAUGUCCGGACAAUUUCCCAGCAACAGAAGUUAAGGAGUGUGGCCCAAAAGAUACUCCUACAAGUGAACAGUAAAUUAGGAGGAGAACUUUGGACUGUCAAUAUCCCGCUGAAAAGUUUGAUGGUUGUAGGAGUUGAUGUCCACCAUAACACCAGCAAGACUCACCAAUCAGUCAUGGGCUUUGUUGCAAGCAUCAACAGCUCACUGACUCGCUGGUAUUCCAGAGUAACAUUUCAAAGACCCAGUGAAGAACUCAUCAAUGGUUUCACAGUUUGCUUGUUGGAUGCGCUGCACAAGUAUCAUGAGGUCAACCAUUGCUUCCCAGAACGGAUUGUGGUAUAUCGGGAUGGCGUGUCAGAUGGUCAGCUCAAGAUGGUUGAGGAUUAUGAGAUCCCUCAGUUGAUCAAAUGCUUCAAGACAUUUCCCACCUAUGAGCCAAAACUUGUCUUCAUUGUGGUUCAAAAGAGAAUCAGCACUACCCUCUAUUCCUAUGUUGGAAGCAGCUUUGGCUCGCCUUCACCUGGAACUGUUCUGGAUCACACGCUCACUCAAAAAUACUGGGUGGACUUCUACCUAAUGGCACAUCACGUUCGCCAGGGAUGCGGACUUCCUACCCACUACAUUACCCUGUACAAUACAGCAAACCUAAUGCCAGAUCAUCUACAAAGGCUGACCUUCAAAAUGUGCCAUUUAUAUUGGAACUGGCCUGGAACAAUUCGAGUUCCAGCACCAUGCAAAUAUGCGCACAAACUGGCUUACCUUUCAGGCCAGUACCUACAUUCAGAGCCAUCCAUCCAUCUGGCUGACAAACUUUUUUUUCUUUGAAAGUUGUCUUGUUUUCCAGUACUAUUGGCUCUCAAUAGUAUUGGAAUUGAUACACGGAGACAGAAGGAAGUCACUACAGGAGUAACAUGGACAAUGAAAGAGUGGAGCAUUUGAUCAGAAGAGGAAAGAUGGCUUACUCCUGAGCAAUUUACCACCACUCCUGAAAUGCACAUCGAAACCUGCGGACGGGAGACAUCAUGCUUCUGAAGGAUAACCAACACCCUCGUAACGAGUGGCGGAUGGGACUGGUCACCUCAACCUUCCCGAGCAGUGAUGGGAAGGUUAGGAAGAUAGAAGUCAGGAGAACCACUCUGGACACUGUCAAGACAUUCCUCAGACCUCUGUCUGAGGCCAUCCUACUUCCCAAAAAGAAUUAAGGAUCAUGAGAAAAUGACAAUGUAAACAGAGGAGUGACAUUUGCACAAUGUCAGGCGGAGUGUUCUCCCCUGCAAGAUGUUAUAAGGGACUCUUCUGUUUUGCAUAUUUUAUUAUUUUUUGCAGUUAAUCAGUUACAUUUGUACACAGCCUUGUUAAUU